GCUUUCGUGGUGUAGCGGUAACAUUGGGUCUUCCCAUGGCCUAGCUCCGGGUUCGACUCCCGCCGGACGCA